AUUGAACGCUGGCGGCAUGCCUUACACAUGCAAGUCGAACGGUAACAGGGAGCUUGCUCCGCUGACGAGUGGCGAACGGGUGAGUAAUGUAUCGGAACGUACCAUUCAGUGGGGGAUAACGUAGCGAAAGUUACGCUAAUACCGCAUAUUCUGUGAGCAGGAAAGCAGGGGAUCGCAAGACCUUGCGCUGAUUGAGCGGCCGAUAUCAGAUUAGCUAGUUGGUGAGGUAAAGGCUCACCAAAGGCGACGAUCUGUAGCGGGUCUGAGAGGAUGAUCCGCCACACUGGAACUGAGACACGGUCCAGACUCCUACGGGAGGCAGCAGUGGGGAAUUUUGGACAAUGGGGGCAACCCUGAUCCAGCCAUGCCGCGUGAGUGAAGAAGGCCUCGGUUGUAAGCUCUUCGCCGGGAAAAGUACGACAUCAGUUAAUACCUGGUGUGGAGUGAUGGUACCGGAAUAAGAAGACACGGCUAACUACGUGCC
rnacentral:rRNA from 1 species